GACUGAACUCAGGCUGGGGAAGCAGCGGAUAUCCCUAGCAGAGAACAAAACCUAGUGAUCUUCUGAGGUUACGUGUGGCUUUGAGUAGGCAAUGUAUCAAUAAGCCGCUGUUUUAGAAUUUAUUUAAUCUACUCAGCUCCUCUCAGCACUCGGUUCUGGAGGCUCGGCUGAAGAAAAUCAAAAAGUUGGAGCGGUGAGAAGUGCAAAAACCUUCCGGGCCCCGGGGCAGCACCAGGCAGAGCGGCGAUGGGAAGCGCAUGCUCAAACCGUGGAGGUGGCUUGGCUUGCACGUUCACGCAUCCCAGAGCACAGAAGUGGGCCAGCACUGGCCUGAUCCCGGCUCCGUGGGAGGCACAGGGAAGAGUUAACUUCCUUGGUUGGGAACAUUAUCUGUCGCGUGCCACUACUCUGUAAUUAUGGCUCUAUGCCUCUCAGAAAGAGGUUUUUAUAAGAGUCUUUUAAUCUAAAAAGUCAAUUGCAUUAAAACAAUGACUUCUAUACUUAGAUCCCCCUUUAUGUGCACACUAUUGUGUUUGGUAUAAAUUUAGCAAAUUACAUGGAAGGUUUUCUUAGUGGAAGCUUAAAAAUAUGAUUGCUGCUCGCGUGCCAGUAAGCACGAGUAGUCCCCAGAAGCACAGCUCUGCUCCGCGUUGCCGGCGAUGCUCGGCUCUGGCGAGCGGCUCGGGGCAGUGGCACGGCCAGGUGCGAGCUGGGACAAGGCUGCUCUGCUUUGACAACUGUCCCGUAGCCGAAGCCACCCUGCUGGUGCUGCUGAGAAGCCCCUGACAUUGCUCUAACAUUAUAGGAUAGCGUCACAAAGCGAGAUACACGGGAUGCUAUGGGGGCAUUUCGCUCGCACCUGCCUGCGCCUGGAGCAGCGCCUGCUGGAUCAGCUCCAGGGACAAAGCUGGGGCUGGGUGGGAACAACACUUUUUUGGCUGGAAAAAUCUCCUUGAUCCCUUCAAACACCACAAGAAGAUGAGAUUGCUGCUUGCUGCUGCUGUUCUGAUGAAAUUCAGCAUCUGUCGUUUUCUUCCCUGGAAGCUGGGGAUGAUUUUGUCCAAUGUAUUUCUGUCCGAGGUGAAGACGUGUCAUCUGCUGCAGGUGCUGGCAGCCGGUCUUGUACUGAAAUGUAUUUCCAAAGGACAAAGAUCCACGUUAAGAAAAUGCAGCUCCUUAUUUAUAAAUUAAGAACAAGUUAACUUCCUUUCUGGAACUGGAAUAAACAUACACAAAUA